GGUAUUAGCUCAGUUGGUAGAGCGCUAGGUUCGCAAUCUAGAGGUCAGGGGUUCGACCCCCCUAUGCUC
rnacentral:tRNA from 1 species